GACAGAGGGGGCAAGCGUUGCUCGGAAUUACUGGGCGUAAGGGGCGCGUAGGCGGGAUGGCAAGUCGGUCGUGAAAUCCCUCGGCUCAACCGAGGAACGUCGAUCGAUACUGCUGUUCUUGAGGAUUGCAGAGGAGACUGGAAUUCCCGGUGUAGCGGUGAAAUGUGUAGAGAUCGGGAGGAACACCGGUGGCGAAGGCGGGUCUCUGGGCAAUUCCUGACGCUGAGGCGCGAAAGCGUGGGGAGCAAACGGG
rnacentral:rRNA from 1 species